GACGAAGGGGGCUAGCGUUGCUCGGAAUCACUGGGCGUAAAGCGCACGUAGGCGGAUCUUUAAGUCAGGGGUGAAAUCCCAAGGCUCAACCUUGGAACUGCCUUUGAUACUGGGGAUCUCGAGUCCGGAAGAGGUUGGUGGAACUGCGAGUGUAGAGGUGAAAUUCGUAGAUAUUCGGAAGAACACCAGUGGCGAAGGCGGCUCACUGGACUGGUAUUGACGCUGAGGUGCGAAAGCGUGGGGAGCAAACAGG
rnacentral:rRNA from 1 species